ACAAGGGCAGCUCCAAUGGAUAAUCAGGGCAUGCAGAACCCUGCAUCCAACAUGGCUGGAAUGCCACAGAACAGUGCGAGUGGACCAGGAGGUCCACCCCCACCACCGCAUAACAACUACAUGGGCGGGUCACCCCCACCGCCACAAAACAACUACAUGGGCGGGUCACCCCCACCGCCUCAAAACAACUACAUGGGCAGGCCACCUCCACCCCCACCAAACAAUUACAUGGGUGGGCCACCACCACCACCGCCACCAAGCAACUACAUGGGUGGACCACCACCACCGCCCCCAAACAACUACAUGGGUGGGCCGCCACCACCACCACCUCUUAACAACUAUAUGGGACCGCAGAACACAGGAGGAAUUCCUCAGAACAACUAUGGAAACUCCUCACCCAACAAUGUGGGAGGAAUGCCGCAAAGUCCGGGAUGGUCUAGUAACAUGCAGCAGAACUUCCAGGA
rnacentral:lncRNA from 1 species